AGUGAACGCUGGCGGCAGGCCUAACACAUGCAAGUCGAACGGCAGCACAAGAGAGCUUGCUCUCUGGGUGGCGAGUGGCGGACGGGUGAGGAAUGCAUCGGAAUCUGCCCAUUUGUGGGGGAUAACCUCGGGAAACCGGGACUAAUACCGCAUACGACCUACGGGUGAAAGCAGGGGAUCUUCGGACCUUGCGCAGAUGGAUGAGCCGAUGCCGGAUUAGCUAGUUGGAGGGGUAAGGGCCCACCAAGGCGACGAUCCGUAGCUGGUCUGAGAGGAUGAUCAGCCACACUGGAACUGAGACACGGCCCAGACUCCUACGGGAGGCAGCAGUGGGGAAUAUUGGGCAAUGGGCGCAAGCCUGAUCCAGCCAUGCCGCGUGUGUGAAGAAGGCCUUCGGGUUGUAAAGCACUUUUGUUGGGAAAGAAAAGCAGCCGGUUAAUACCCGGUUGUCAUGACGGUACCCAAAGAAUAAGCACCGGCUAACUUCGUG
rnacentral:rRNA from 1 species